GGGCGAGUACGUGUGCGUAUGCGCCCCACUAAUCAUUUCUGGCGCGAAAAAGUUUCACCCGCAGUACUGGUGAAUGGAAUUUGACUCUCGAGAAAGGUCCGGUGAUCCGAUGAUUCACGUUAAUUCGAUGAAUUCAAGCACACAACACUACAUUCUUCGAGACGUUGCAGUCACUACUCCACAUGCAUGAUGCAUGAGACAACUGCACACGCAUUGGAUUUUGUCCUGCAACAUGUUAAAGAUGUACAGAUGAAUUGGAUGACAUUCCUCCUUACAAGAAUCUGUGAACUACACCACUUAGGAUGGCCAACAUCGAAAACACCAAGAACAACAAAUGCUGGCGAGGAUGCAGAGAGAGGGGAACCCUCUUACACUGAUGGUGGGAAUGUAGUUCAACCAUUGUGGAAAG